UACAGUUCUCUGGCGCAAGAGGGCAAUUUAAUCUCGAGUUAGUCUCCACAGAGCCCUGAUGACUGAGGAUGCCCAGGAAAUGAGUUCUUCUAAGUAUCCCACCCCUGUCUUGCCCUGAGGCAAUGUGCACUUAAACAAAUGCAGAACUUUUGGUCCAUCUUCCAAAGACUUCAAAUCAGUGGGACUGUGUAUAAAGUUAAGCACAUGCAUGGCUCUUUGCAGCAUUAUUUGUAGGGGCAGGGCAUGGGGAAGAGAG